rnacentral:rRNA from 1 species
CCUACGGGAGGCAGCAGUGGGGAAUAUUGCACAAUGGGGGAAACCCUGAUGCAGCGACGCCGCGUGAGUGAAGAAGGCUUUCGGGAUGUAAAGCUCUUUUAGCAGGGAAGAUAAUGACGGUACCUGACUAAGAUGCCCCGGCUCACAACGGGCCAGCAGACGCGGGAAUACGUAGGUGGCGAGCGUUAUCCGGAUGUACUGGGUGUAAAGGGGGAGGAGGUGGCGGGGCAAGUCAGAUGUGAAAACACGGGGCUCAACCCCGGGAGUGCAUUUGAAACUGUCCAGCUGGAGUGCAGGAGAGGUAAGCGGAAUUCCUAGUGUAGCGGUGAAAUGCAUAGAUAUUAGGAGGAACACCAGUGGCGAAGGCGGCUUACUGGACUGUAACUGACACUGAGGCUCGAAAGCGUGGGGAGCAAACAGGAUUAGAUACCCUAGUAGUC